rnacentral:rRNA from 1 species
GACGAACGCUGGCGGCGUGCUUAACACCAUGCAAGUCGAACGGAGAUUUAAGAGGAAGCUUGCGAAUCUUAAAUUUUAGUGGCGGACGGGUGAGUAACACGUGGAUAACCUGCCUGUAAGACCGGGACAACACCUGGAAACGGGUGCUAAUACCGGGUAAGCUCUUCAGCCCGCAUGGGCAGAAGAGGAGAGGGGAAACCCGCUUACAGAUGGGUCCGCGGCCCAUUAGCUAGUUGGCGGUGUAACAGACCACCAAGGCGACGAUGGGUAGCCGGCCUGAGAGGGUGACCGGCCACACUGGAACUGAGACACGGUCCAGACUCCUACGGGAGGCAGCAGUGGGGAAUCUUCCGCAAUGGGCGAAAGCCUGACGGAGCAACGCCGCGUGAAUGAUGAAGGCCUUCGGGUUGUAAAAUUCUGUCUUCAGGGAAGAAAAAAAUGACGGUACCUGAGGAGGAAGCCCCGGCUAACUACGUGC